GGCAACGUGGUGUAGUGGUUUGAAUGCUGGACUAUGACUGAAGACCAGGGUUCAAAUUCCUGCUCAGCCA